GGUUAAGUGACUAAGCGUACACGGUGGAUGCCUUGGCAGUCAGAGGCGAUGAAGGACGUAGUAACUUGCGAUAAGCGUAGAUUAGGCAGUAACAGCCAC
rnacentral:rRNA from 1 species